rnacentral:tRNA from 1 species
GAAAGUAUGGUCCAGUGGUGGGGCACUAGCCUAGGAGCUAGGAGAUUUGGGUUCAAGUCCCUAUUCUGCCA